UACGUAGGGCGCGAGCGUGUCCGGAAUUAUUGGGCGUAAAGAGCUCGUAGGCGGUUUGUCGCGCGGUUGUGAAAACCCAAGGCUCAACCUUGGGCCUGCAAUCGAUACGGGCAGACUAGAGUACUGCAGGGGAGACUGGAAUUCCUGGUGUAGCGGUGGAAUGCGCAGAUAUCAGGAGGAACACCGGUGGCGAAGGCGGGGUCUCUGGGCAGUAACUGACGCUGGAGGAGCGAAAGCGUGGGGAGCGAACAGGAUUAGACUACCCGUGU
rnacentral:rRNA from 1 species